UGGGGAAUUUUGCGCAAUGGGGGAAACCCUGACGCAGCAACGCCGCGUGGGUGAUGAAGGCCUUCGGGUCGUAAAGCUCUGUCUGGAGGGAAGAAAUGAUUGGGAGCUAAUACCUCCUGAUCUUGACGGUACCUCUGAAGGAAGCACCGGCUAACUCCGUGCCAGCAGCCGCGGUAAUACGGAGGGUGCAAGCGUUGUUCGGAAUUAUUGGGCGUAAAGCGCGUGUAGGCGGUCUUUUAAGUCUGAUGUGAAAGCCCCGGGCUCAACCUGGGAAGUGCAUUAGAAACUGGGAGGCUUGAGUACGGGAGAGGAGAGUGGAAUUCCUAGUGUAGGAGUGAAAUCCGUAGAUAUUAGGAGGAACACCGGUGGCGAAGGCGGCUCUCUGGACCGAUACUGACGCUGAGACGCGAAAGCGUGGGUAGCAAACA
rnacentral:rRNA from 1 species